AUUUCGGCGAGGUUCGUCGCUUCGUUUCGUUGAGCAGCGCAGGCGUUGCCCUUUGAAUGUUUGUUUGUUUUCGCCCUCGACCACCCUUCAUGUAAAGAGGAAAGCAGAGGAACCAGAGGAAAGCGCGCGUUCUCACGGUACGAUGUUCAGGGAGGAGUAGCGAGUCUGUAAUCGGGAUCGUCGCAUCAACGGGCAGAGACAGGCCUCGCAAAAGUUCGUCGCAGUGUGACACACUCGCCGCCUUCUCUUUCGCUUACUUUACCUGUUUCCACGGUACUCUUCUGCGCAUUGUCCGUCGUACAACGCGAGAGAAACGCGCGGCCGAUCGUAGAAUCGCAAAGUGCGACCGGGACCCAGCCGCACCGGUGCCGGUUUCCUUCGAGAAAUCGAUUCGGUGAGGAAACAACAGCCCGGAGCCAAGCACAAGAAGACGAAGCAUUGAAAAUUGCAGUGUGAAUGAACGUGGACAGUCACUGAACAGAUAAAAUUAGUGACUAAUACAGAAGUAACCAUGGAGGACGGUCAUUGUAAAACAGUGGACGAGGUGGUAAAUUUCUUUAAUGUCGAUUCUGACAAAGGAUUAUCUCUUGACCAAGUUAAGAGGAACCAGGAAAAAUAUGGUCUCAAUGAAUUGCCAGCCGAGGAGGGAAAGUCCAUAUGGCAACUCGUGUUGGAGCAAUUCGACGACCUUCUAGUUAAGAUUCUUCUAUUAGCCGCUAUUAUUUCUUUUGUAUUAGCUUUAUUUGAGGAGCACGAGGAUGCGUUCACGGCCUUCGUCGAGCCCUUCGUCAUUUUGCUCAUUCUUAUUGCCAACGCCGUGGUCGGUGUGUGGCAAGAACGUAAUGCCGAGUCUGCGAUCGAAGCGUUGAAAGAGUACGAGCCUGAGAUGGGCAAAGUCCUGCGAAUGGACAAAGCCGGCGUGCAGAGGAUUCGUGCCAAGGAGAUCGUGCCCGGCGACAUCGUAGAAGUGUCCGUCGGUGACAAGAUCCCGGCCGAUAUCCGUCUAACCAAGAUCUUCUCGACUACCCUCAGGAUCGAUCAGUCUAUCCUGACCGGUGAAUCUGUCUCGGUGAUCAAGCAUACGGAUCCUGUGCCUGAUCCACGUGCCGUCAAUCAGGACAAGAAGAACAUCUUGUUCUCUGGUACUAACGUAGCCGCGGGUAAGGCUCGCGGUGUCGUCAUUGGAACUGGACUGAACACCGCCAUUGGUAAGAUCCGUACCGAGAUGUCCGAGACCGAGGAGAUCAAAACGCCUCUGCAACAGAAACUGGACGAGUUUGGCGAACAAUUAUCGAAGGUUAUCUCCGUGAUCUGCGUGGCUGUCUGGGCUAUCAACAUUGGCCACUUUAACGAUCCCGCUCAUGGUGGAUCCUGGAUCAAGGGAGCCAUCUACUACUUCAAGAUCGCCGUUGCCCUGGCCGUAGCCGCCAUUCCCGAAGGUUUGCCGGCUGUAAUUACCACUUGCUUGGCUUUGGGUACCCGUCGUAUGGCGAAGAAGAACGCCAUCGUGCGAUCCUUGCCAUCCGUCGAGACCUUAGGUUGUACCUCUGUCAUCUGUUCGGACAAGACUGGUACCUUGACCACCAACCAGAUGUCUGUUAGCCGAAUGUUCAUCUUCGAUAAGAUCGAGGGCAACGACAGCAGCUUCCACGAAUUCGAGAUCACUGGUUCGACCUACGAACCAGUUGGUGAGAUUUUCUUGAGAGGCAAGAAGAUUCGUGGUCAGGACUACGAAACUCUUCACGAAGUCGGUACGAUCUGUAUCAUGUGCAACGACUCCGCUAUCGAUUUCAACGAAUUCAAACAAGCAUUCGAGAAGGUCGGCGAGGCAACAGAGACUGCUCUUAUCGUUCUUGCGGAGAAGAUCAAUCCGUACGGUGUCUCUAAGAGCGGAUUGGAUAGGCGUAACACGGCCAUCGCUGCUAGACAAGACAUGGAGACGAAAUGGAAGAAAGAAUUCACUCUGGAGUUCUCUCGCGAUCGUAAAUCUAUGUCUUCUUACUGUACACCCUUGAAACCAACUAAAUUGGGUACUGGACCGAAAUUGUUCGUUAAGGGCGCCCCAGAAGGUGUUUUGGACAGGUGCACGCACGCUCGUGUUGGAUCUACCAAGGUUCCUCUUACAUCUACUCUGAAAAAUCGUAUAUUGGAUCUGACUCGCCAAUAUGGUACUGGCCGAGACACUCUGCGUUGUCUGGCUCUUGCCACUGCUGAUCACCCAAUGAAACCCGACGAUAUGGAUCUUGAUGACUCCACGAAGUUCUACACGUACGAAAAGGACCUCACCUUCAUCGGUGUCGUUGGUAUGCUUGACCCACCUCGCAAGGAAGUAUUUGACUCGAUUGCCAGGUGUCGUGCCGCUGGUAUUCGUGUUAUUGUCAUUACUGGCGACAACAAGGCUACUGCUGAAGCCAUCUGUAGACGUAUCGGUGUCUUCGGUGAAGAUGAAGAUACGACCGGAAAGUCGUACUCUGGACGUGAAUUCGAUGAUCUUCCUUCGUCGGAACAGAAGGCUGCCUGCGCCAGAGCUCGUCUGUUCUCUCGUGUAGAACCCGCUCACAAAUCCAAGAUCGUUGAGUUCUUACAAAGCAUGAAUGAAAUUUCGGCUAUGACUGGUGAUGGUGUAAAUGAUGCGCCUGCUCUGAAAAAAGCCGAGAUUGGUAUUGCUAUGGGUUCUGGUACCGCUGUCGCGAAAUCUGCCUCUGAGAUGGUAUUAGCUGACGAUAACUUCUCUUCCAUUGUCGCCGCUGUUGAGGAAGGUCGUGCCAUCUAUAACAACAUGAAACAGUUCAUUCGUUAUCUGAUUUCUUCCAAUAUUGGUGAAGUCGUAAGUAUAUUCUUGACUGCCGCCCUUGGUCUUCCCGAAGCUCUGAUCCCUGUACAACUUUUGUGGGUCAACUUGGUAACUGACGGUCUUCCAGCUACUGCACUCGGUUUUAAUCCACCUGAUUUGGACAUUAUGAGCAAGCCUCCUCGUAAAGCCGACGAAUCUCUCAUCUCUGGUUGGUUGUUCUUCCGCUAUAUGGCUAUUGGUGGAUAUGUAGGUGCUGCGACUGUUGGAUCAGCCGCGUGGUGGUUCAUGUACAGUCCGCAUGGACCACAGAUGAGCUAUUAUCAAUUGACUCAUCACUUGGCGUGCUUGGGUGGUGGCGAUGAAUUCAAAGGCGUUAAUUGCAAGAUCUUCACAGAUCCUCAUCCCAUGACGAUGGCUCUGUCUGUACUCGUAACCAUUGAAAUGUUGAAUGCUAUGAACAGUUUAUCUGAGAAUCAGUCUCUCGUCACUAUGCCGCCCUGGUCUAACAUGUGGCUCAUUGCCUCUAUGGCUCUUUCUUUCACACUCCACUUUGUCAUCCUUUACAUCGACGUCCUUUCGUCUGUAUUCCAAGUUACUCCUCUAACGGGCGAGGAGUGGGUUACCGUUAUGAAGUUCUCCAUUCCAGUGGUACUUCUCGACGAAACUCUUAAGUUCAUUGCCAGAAAGUUCGCAGAUGGUGAGAAUCCAAUUGACUCAGUGCUUUGGAUCGUUCUAAUGUGGGCUGUGUUCUUUGGACUAUUAAGUAUUUGUCCCAUAUAGAACGUCCGUGAAAACAAACAUUUAGUCUAACAGACAGUGUUUUUCCUAUGGAAAACAUUUUGCAACUGAGUUCUCGGACUUGCAAUUGCAUUUAAACAAAAACCGAAGUUCUUCCCCGUUGCCCGGGAAGCCUCGAAGAUAAGUUAUUAAUUGAAUGGCACCGCCUGUGACGCCGCCGAAAUAAAGCUCGGGAACCGCGAUAGGACGAAAAUCGCCAGCAGUCCGGACACAGAGAAAAAGAUCGUCAGAAUGGCACUUAAACAACACCCACCCAAGCAACAACAACCCGCAAGCUGACCGAUGGGAUCGAGCCGAAAACAGAGAUCUUAUGAAAUACCAUCGACACGUUAUACACCGACACACGCAUAUGUACACACAUACAUACACCAACCACACACACAAUGCUAUACAGUCGUAUACAUAUAGAGAAAGAGCGGACAAAACGGAAACUACGAAACGACGGGGCGCGUUCUUCGCUUUCGUUGAACGAAACGAUUCUGUAUCAUUGGUAGAACGAGUAUGGCGAGUUUCGAGGAAAUUUCAUAGCAAGCGUAGACGAGGUGCGAGUGCCUGGGUUUGGGUGUUAAUUUCGUUGGCUGUUCUCUCGGUGCGUUGACACGUUUGCCAUCGGUGGUUUUCUGUGUUGCUCGCCUUCCCCCGUUUUCAAUGAAAAAGACGCUAAUUAAAUAUGUAAUAAAGGAAAAGACAAGAUGUAUAUCGUUGAACGUGUCGAUAUUUCAACAGUUUAGCAGUCCGAUAAGAAGUUUACAAAUUGUAUAUUAAUAAAAUAUGUUUGAAAUAUGUCUUCUAUCUAUAGACAACAAAAAAACUGAUCGAACACUUCGCUAUACUCGUUCCACCGAUUAUGCUCAAUAUAGUGACCGCGCCCUAAUAGAGGGGUGUUUAGAGACAGACAGACAGAGAGGGAGAAAGAAAGAGAGAGAGAGAGAGAGAAAGAGAGGAGAAGGAAAAAUUCACAUUCGAAAAGACAAAGGGGGUACUCGUCAUUCACGGCGGUGCGAAAAAUGAUCGAGGAAGUUCGAGGCAAAGAAAGAACGAAAACAAAGAAAAGAAGAGAUACGAUCGAUCACAGCUUCAGGCUCGGGCUUCGAGAAUCCAGAAAAAGGACUCGAGUUCUCGAGGCAGUUGCAGGCAAAGAGAUACAAACGAACGUCCAAUCGGAACAGCUUGCCAAGUUUGUCACGGUUGAUCCGCACGACAGAUCGAAGGAUCGACGAGCAAGUUGAAAAGCCUUCGCGACGCGGUGUAGGAAAGAAUCGAACUAAUCGAUGUGUGCCUGUGUUAUUAUGUUGCAGCAAACGAAGCGGUUGUCGACAAGUGGGCCUAGGCUUGUCUCGUCGUGCUCCGUCGGCAACAGAAUUCCUCUGCCAAGCACGAACCAAAAAACAAUCCAUACACGCGUGUACACACACAUAUACCAAAAAAAAAAUCAAUAUUAAUAACGAUAAUAUAACACUGUAACGAAAAACUAGGUGAAAAGGAGACACGGAAUAGAAGCAGGCACGGCCGAAAGCGAAGACACGAAAUAGUGGAACCGGUGGAAGCGGAGAGGAACCAGACUGGAGUCGUGCGAGAAAUUCCAAAAUUCCAACACUUUCAGGGAAAGUCGAAAGAAAUUCCAGAGGAAUUCGCGCGAACGUUACGACGAUGUGAUAAUCACGAGUGAGAACGAAAGAUAAAUGAAAGAUCGAAUGAUGUUUGGGUAGAGACACGACCUGCUGUAACGUUAGAGCGGCUGGACUGCGUCGGUAAUGCAGGGAGGAGCUGAGAUAGAUCGCUCUCUAUUAUCAUUUUACACCUACUCCGAUUUCCUGGCUGACUACCGUGUCACGCACUGCCGCUGCUUUUCCGUUUCAUCGUCUACUGGUCCUGGCAGGGAUUUUGUUCGCGUGUUUCCUAUUCUUUGUACAGGGAAUGUAUAUGUACAUAAUAUAUCGUGUCGUCGGUGAAGCCGAAACGCCGCGAAGAGUAAAUGAAGAGAUUGAAAAUCGUGGUUUCUGAUGAAGAGUAGAUAAAAAAAAUGAAUGGAAAGGGGGAAAAAAUCUUUUUAUGUUUUAUCUAGAGCAAUACGCUGAUUUAAAUCUUUCGACCGACAGUAUGGUUGUUUCUUUUUUUUUUAGAGUCGCGUAACGAUCGAAUGGUAUAACCAUCGACUUCUCGUUAUCAUUAAUUCUAUAACUUCUUUAACGUCGGUAGAAUUUAUUGUAGUGUUAGCUGGUAGAGUUUUUUAUCUUUAAAGAAGCUAUGUUUUCUUCGAUUAAUUAGCAAACUAACUGCAGAAUUAUUGAUAUCUUUCUUUUUUUAAACUGAGUAAGGAACUUAUUACCGGAUCCAUUUAUUUCACAUUUCUAGCUCAUUCUCUUUACGAACAACUUUCUUCUUUUCCUUUUCUUCUUCUUUCUCUCUUCUUCUGGCUUCUUUUUUUCUUCUAUCCAUUCCUUCUUCUUUCUCGAUCCUUUUUCUCUCUGUCUCUCUUUCUCUGUCUCUCUUUCUCUCUCUCUCUUUCUCUCUCUCUCUCUCUCUCUCUAUCUCUUUCAUAACUUCCACGCGUUUCUUUUCUCUAAUCGUGUCUUCUUAUCGCUAUCCUUAAAGACACUCUAUAUUUUCUACUGAAAAGAGACACACCUGUGCAUCAUCCUGGAAAGACUUUUUCCCUUGAAAUGUAUUCAAGGUUCCUAUCUGAAAAAUACUCCAAUAACCACGAAACGCUCCAACGGACACCGUCGAACGUCUAGCAGAACGCUUGAAACGCGAUGAAACACGCGUUUCCGCGAUGAUGAUCGUCACGAUGAUUCUAGUUCUCAGCCACCGAGGACGUCGUUGUCAACAUCACCGAGUUCACAGUUCUUUCCGCUCCAAUUGUCGUACCUCGAGGAACAUGCUCGAGCGAUUUUCCGCGAGAGACACAGCGAUCGAGGUGAGGAAAACCGGAACGUCGAUCGUCGAAAGUUACAGAAGGGACUUCGUCGUUGAAAAUUCUGUCGAAGCUCGGCUCCAGGAUGGAAUUCGCAAUGGCGUUGGAGGGUAACAAAUAAAGACGAAGGCGACAACCGGUGGCGGAAACGCGGUGGAAAAGCAGUGAGAAUCGACGAUGCGUUACCUCCCUUUUGUCGUUGGAUCGUGUGGUACACGUUUUUAGGACGAGUGAAAGUAAUAAAAAUGGUAUAUCCUGAUCGGUGACGUAACUUUCAACGGAGGCUUCCGGCGUAACGGUCGUCGUUUCCAUUAAAACGACGAUGGAUCGGUGCCACCCACUCGGAGGGUGUAACGAUCGCGGAAGCCUCCUGACGCUCACGAAACUUACGCCACUAGAGAGAAGAAUUUAAGAAGAAUUGUUAAUAAUAACGAUGUUAAAACAUACACAAAACACACACAGAAAAAAAAAGAAGGAAAAAAAUCGAUGAAGCUCGCGAGAUAUAAUUAUUGUACAUAAAAAGAGUAAUGAAAGGAUACGUUGUCACGCGCGAUAUUUAGAGAGAAAUUGAUUAUUAUUAUUAUAUAUAUAUUAUGAUUAAGAGACAUUAAAUAUAUAUAUACAUAUAUUUUUCUUCGUGAAGAAAGCGCACAGACAGUCGCUGACCCGAGCGACCUCUCGGACAAUCGAACGGACGCCUCUCGAGCGAGAAGGAUUCGAAUCGACAGAAACGAAGAAAACCCGGAUCCCCUGUGCUUUUUCUUUCUCAGCUUCGUUUCCUGAUUUUCUUUUUCUUCUUUCGAGUUUAUUUGGUUUAAUAUUAAGAUGGAAUUAACUGCCUGUGAAUAUUUCUGAUUGUUAGGAGAGAAAAAAAAAACAAAGAAAUUAUCUUUCUUUUACCUGGA